UCCUGGCUUAGGAUGAACGCUGGCGGCGUGCUUAACACAUGCAAGUCGAACGGAGCAGCUUCUUGCUGCAAGAAGUUGACUUAGUGGCGGACGGGUGAGUAACGCGUGGGUAACCUGCCUCAUACAGGGGGAUAACAGUUGGAAACGACUGCUAAGACCGCAUAACCCGCUAGUGUCGCAUGACACGGACGGAAAAUAUUUAUAGGUAUGAGAUGGGCCCGCGUCUGAUUAGCUAGUUGGUAAGGUAACGGCUUACCAAGGCGACGAUCAGUAGCCGACUUGAGAGAGUGAUCGGCCACAUUGGGACUGAGACACGGCCCAAACUCCUACGGGAGGCAGCAGUGGGGAAUAUUGGACAAUGGGGGAAACCCUGAUCCAGCGAACCGCCGCGUGAGUGAAGAAGUAUUUCGGUAUGUAAAGCUCUACCAGCAGGGAAGAUAAUGACAGUACCUGACUAAGAAGCCCCGGCUAACUACGUGCCAGCAGCAGC
rnacentral:rRNA from 1 species